AUGACGUCAAGUCAUCAUGGCCCUUACGGCCUGGGCUACACACGUGCUACAAUGGUCGGUACAAAGGGUUGCCAAGCCGCGAGGUGGAGCUAAUCCCAUAAAACCGAUCGUAGUCCGGAUCGCAGUCUGCAACUCGACUGCGUGAAGUCGGAAUCGCUAGUAAUCGUGAAUCAGAAUGUCACGGUGAAUACCGUUCCCGGGCCUU
rnacentral:rRNA from 1 species